UUUUCAGCAGCUGCAGUAAAAGACAAUAUCUCUCCCUACAAAACGUACCUCAUUUGUGCCAUAUCACUACUGUAUUGUUCACCUUCAUCGGAAAUCCUGCAAAUCAUAGUCAGGAUGAACAGGCUCCAGUACAGCAUCACUGAUGUUUCCAAUACUCUCUCUCACCAGUAGGCUGAGGGUGGGCAAAGUCCUGAGAGGGGACAGCUGACCUCAGCUGACUAAAGGGGCAAUUCCAUACAAUAUGAUGUCUGCUCAACAAUAAAGUAAACAGAAAGGAGGAGGAAGGUGUGGGGGAGGGAGAGUGUGGGCAGGUGUGGUAGUUUAGUCUAGGCCUUCCUCGGUGACCAGUUUAUAACCAAGGAAGUACCCAGAUUUAUCCUGUAUUCCCUAUGAUUUUUACCUAAGCCACGGUAUAAGAAGAAGGGAGGAAAGGCCUUCGCCCUUCUUUCCUUCUGGCGGCUUUGGAGGUGCAGGUUUCCCUGCUGUUGAGUCUGUCGUGUUGGGGAGCGAGGCCUGGUAAGGCCUUGCCGACCCUGGGAGGUGGAGGUUGCCAGCAGUCUUUCCAGCACAACUUUCUGUUGUCCCAAGGAGAGUAAAAAGACUACAAAGCCCUUUGCACAGACCAAGGAAGAUCUCCAGAGCCCAGGAUCAUCAGUGGAAGCCAAAGCAGAUGUUCAGAAACAUGCCAUUUCAAGGGCAGGGGCCACACACACUUCAGUUUGUUGUCUUCUUUUGCAAUGCUGUUUUGUAAACCAAACUUGGACAACAGCGUGACCAACGGGAAUUCU